UACGAAGGGGGCUAGCGUUGUUCGGAAUUACUGGGCGUAAAGCGCGUGUAGGCGGGUCUUUAAGUCAGGGGUGAAAUGCCAAGGCUCAACCUUGGAACUGCCUUUGAUACUGGAGAUCUUGAGUCCGAGAGAGGUGAGUGGAAUUGCGAGUGUAGAGGUGAAAUUCGUAGAUAUUCGCAAGAACACCAGUGGCGAAGGCGGCUCACUGGCUCGGAACUGACGCUGAGACGCGAAAGCGUGGGGAGCAAACAGG
rnacentral:rRNA from 2 species